rnacentral:rRNA from 1 species
GAUGAACGCUAGCGGCAGGCUUAACACAUGCAAGUCGAGGGGUAACAGGGUGCUUGCACCGCUGACGACCGGCGCACGGGUGCGUAACGCGUAUAGAACCUACCUUUUACAGGAGAAUACCCCAGAGAAAUUUGGAAUAAUGCUCCAUAGUAUUAUUGAAUGGCAUCAUUUGAUAAUUAAACAUUUAUGGGUAAAAGAUGGCUAUGCGUUCUAUUAGCUAGAUGGUAAGGUAACGGCUUACCAUGGCAACGAUAGAUAGGGGUCCUGAGAGGGAGAUCCCCCACACUGGUACUGAGACACGGACCAGACUCCUACGGGAGGCAGCAGUGAGGAAUAUUGGACAAUGGAGGCAACUCUGAUCCAGCCAUGCCGCGUGCAGGAAGACGGUCCUAUGGAUUGUAAACUGCUUUUAUACAGGAAGAAACACUCCCUCGUGAGGGAGCUUGACGGUACUGUAUGAAUAAGCACCGGCUAACUCCGUGCCAGCAGCCGCGGUAAUACGGAGGGUGCAAGCGUUAUCCGGAAUCAUUGGGUUUAAAGGGUCCGUAGGCGGGCUAAUAAGUCAGGGGUGAAAUCCAACAGCUUAACUGUUGAAUUGCCUUUGAUACUGUUAGUCUUGAGUUAUAUGGAAGUAGAUAGAAUGUGUAGUGUAGCGGUGAAAUGCUUAGAGAUUACACAGAAUACCGAUUGCGAAGGCAGUCUACUACGUAUAUACUGACGCUAA